GAUGAACGCUGACAGAAUGCUUAACACAUGCAAGUCCACUUGAAUUUGGGUUUUUAACUUAGGUUUGGGUGGCGGACGGGUGAGUAACGCGUAAAGAACUUGCCUCACAGCUAGGGACAACAUUUGGAAACGAAUGCUAAUACCUAAUAUUAUGAUAAUAGGGCAUCCUAUAAUUAUGAAAGCUAUAAGCGCUGUGAGAGAGCUUUGCGUCCCAUUAGCUAGUUGGAGAGGUAACGGCCCACCAAGGCGAUGAUGGGUAGCCGGCCUGAGAGGGUGAUCGGCCACAAGGGGACUGAGACACGGCCCUUACUCCUACGGGAGGCAGCAGUGGGGAAUAUUGGACAAUGGACCGAGAGUCUGAUCCAGCAAUUCUGUGUGCACGAUGAAGUUUUUCGGAAUGUAAAGUGCUUUCAGUUGGGAAGAAACAAAUGACGGUACCAACAGAAGAAGUGACGGCUAAAUACGUG
rnacentral:rRNA from 1 species